AUUGAACGCUGGCGGCAUGCUUUACACAUGCAAGUCGAACGGUAACAGGCCGCAAGGUGCUGACGAGUGGCGAACGGGUGAGUAAUGCAUCGGAACGUGCCCAGUCGUGGGGGAUAACGCAGCGAAAGCUGUGCUAAUACCGCGUACGAUCUGUGGAUGAAAGCGGGGGACCGUAAGGCCUCGCGCGAUUGGAGCGGCCGAUGUCAGAUUAGGUAGUUGGUGGGGUAAAGGCGCACCAAGCCGACGAUCUGUAGCUGGUCUGAGAGGACGACCACCACCACUGGGAAUGAGACACGGCACAGACUCCUACGGGAGGCAGCAGUGGGGAAUUUUGGACAAUGGGCGCAAGCCUGAUCCAGCAAUGCCGCGUGCAGGAAGAAGGCCUUCGGGUUGUAAACUGCUUUUGUACGGAGCGAAAAGGCUCUCUCUAAUACAGGGGGCUCAUGACGGUACCGUAAGAAUAAGCACCGGCUAACUACGUGCCAGCAGCCGCCGCCGUAA
rnacentral:rRNA from 1 species